UGACGUUAGAAUAUUAGAUCCGUUUGAAACCUAUCUGAUAUCGCCGCUAUAACCCUCUAAAAGAGCGCGUCGUCCAAGCUAGUGCCCUUAUGAGAUGGUCCAACUAGUGCUCUCAGACGCUGGCACUAGCUGGAGCAUGCGAUAAUAAUCAAUUUAUUACGUAGUAUAUAUAAAUUUUAUUUUAUUUUAAAACUUAAGAUAUAUUAUAUAUUACCUCCAGGUAAGGUAUACACGGGUAUCCUCGGCUUACCCAACACGCGAUACAUGCUGGUACUCAAAGUAGGGGGAUCUUGAGACGCAACCCAUAAUCUCAGCUCCUCAUCCUGAGCUAACUCAAUAUCAGGAAAAGGAGUGGUGGAAUCUAAUGGCUCGGGAUCCCCAUAGCAUCCCGCAACUCAACUAGACGGGCGUCUCGAAGCGACUGAAAUCAAUCAUGUAAUGUUAUUUGGGUUAAAUGCUUUUUUGGUCAUUGUACUUUAUAUCAAGUUACAAGUGAGUCACUCAACCGUUUUUCUUACAAUCAACUCACUAUAAUUUUGUUUACUUACAAAUGUGGCGACCCCAAAUCCGGAUACUUGAAACCCGAACUCGGUUCUCCACGAUACCAUUUCUUUAAGCUGAAUAAUACUAAAUAAUAAUACAUUCGAACUUAAUUUACAUACAUCAAAGUUUACUUCCCCAG
rnacentral:lncRNA from 1 species